rnacentral:rRNA from 1 species
UACGUAGGGUGCGAGCGUUAAUCGGAAUUACUGGGCGUAAAGGGUGCGCAGGCGGUUUUGUAAGACAGAUGUGAAAUCCCCGGGCUUAACCUGGGAACUGCGUUUGUGACUGCAAGACUUGAGUGUGGCAGAGGGGGGUGGAAUUCCACGUGUAGCAGUGAAAUGCGUAGAUAUGCGGAGGAACACCGAUGGCGAAGGCAAUCCCCUGGGCCUGCACUGACGCUCAUGCACGAAAGCGUGGGGAGCAAACAGGAUUAGAAACCCCUGUAGU